CCUGCUUCCACGCUAUCUCCCGAGGAGGAGCGAGUUUGCAUAAGAGACAUUGCUAUUGCUGCUGAGUCUAACAGAGCAAAGAGGGUGAUACGUUUUAUCUCAUCACUCAAGAGGUGUUCCACGCUCGCUAUUCUCCACUUGUUGCUUGGCUUUAAGAUCCAUGAAGCACAAGUUGGAAACAUUCGUGAACUUUCCAAUUCAUGACUUGGAUUUGACAAAGUAUGUAGCCAACAAAAAUCUCUCUCAACCACAACUCUAUGAGCUCUAUGCUUUGACCAACCAUUACGGUGGUAUGCGAAGCGGACACUACACCCCACAUAUCAAGCUUUUGGAGGAGAAUAGGUGGUAUAGUUUUGAUGAGGAUUUUUAAC